CUGAUGGGUACUUUUGAUGGAGCUGACAAACCCUGAGAAUUAUUCAUUGCCAUUUUAGUCUCCAGCUCUUUCAUGUCCAGGGCUUGUGUUUUGGCUGACAGGGUGGCAUUCUUGCUCUUCGCAGUGAUAACAGGGGUCUUCGGGGUGACUCUGGGGACAACAGGGACCAUGGUCUCCUCAGACAAGGGAGAACCCCAGUCAUCAGAGUCUGUCUUCAUGGCCAGCAUUUUGUUGUCCAUUUUGUGGUCCAUUUCCAGCAUCUUCUUCUGCAGGAUGGUCAGGAGCGUGGCCUGGCUGGCUGAGAGGGAGGAGGGUGCCUGGGUGGGAGGUGGCUUGGGUGUGGUCUGAACAGGUAGCUUGGGUUUGACCUCCAUGACGGGAGGCAGGAGUUUGGGAGGGCAUGGAGGUUUGGGUUUUGGAGGAGGGGGGGGCGCAGAGGAGGGAGUUUUGACAGGAACGAUAGGGCUGGCAGUGGGGGGCAGGACUGGAAGGACAGGGGUGGGAAUGAGGUCCAAGACCUUCGGGGGAGGGUCAGGUGGAGGCGUGCUGGGGGGAGACUCCACGACAUCAUCAUGGUCAUCGAAUUCGGGAGGGGGAGGGAGUAAUGGCAAGCAUAGGUCCUCCCUGUUCUCUUCAUUCCUGACAAGGCUAAAGGGUGAAGGAAUCCUCUGCUCUCCACUUUGUUUCUCCACAGCCAGGAGCCCCUGGAAUGCUGGAUUUACAAUUGGCCUCUUUUCCACCACUGACUCAAUGAUCUGGGGUUUUGCUGGAGUCUGGAUCACCACUGGGGGCUGCACUGGGACCACAGACUGUGGAUUAUCUUGAGAGGUCACAGAGGUGAAUGAGGUGGACCUGGGGAUGAUGGUGAAAGAAUUGGGAUUGGAUUCACUGUGCUGGAUGCUGGUGGAUGGCUCAUUACUCUUUGUGCUGUUUUCGCGUGAAAAAGUGGACCUGUGCUUCUCUCGCUCUUUAGCCGCCAUGAGAAGAGCCAGGGGGGAAGUGGCAGGACCAUCCCUCGUCCCAGUGACCGCACUGAACUUUAGGUUGCGCAGUUUACGGUCCAGCAUAGGACUGAACUUGCGACUCCGGUUUGGAUACAUAUCGUGUUUGACCUGGCUAGCUUCUAUGGUUACAGGGGCAGUGACCACCUGAAGCGUUGGUGAUGCUUUAGUGGGUGUUUCGGCAGGUUUGUUGAUAGCCUGCUGUGCUAAUAAAGGCAAAGGCUCCACUUUCACUUCCUCCUGAGUCUCAGGUGGGGUGGGUUGGCCUUGAAGAGUGGCUUGUAAAUUACCCUUUAUCUCCUGCAGGUCUUGCUCCAGCUGCAUACCCGAGCUGUUUCUCCGGGCUGGCUUAGCUGGCGGUGCCACAGAGGGGGCUGUCCCAUUGACCUGGAUGGAGUCAGUAGACCCAGGGUCAUGCAGCAGUAGGAUCUGCUUGUGCCUAUUUUCACCUUCCACCUGCCUAUCUAGAAUGCCGGUCUUAGGAACACUGUAGAGCUUAGCUGUGUUCUGGGGGUUGAAGCUGGAGGGUCUAGGGUUCUGUACAGGGAGAGCUGGGGCUGGAACCUGGGGGAGUUCAUACAUAAUAGGGAUGGAGGACAGCCUCAUUGGCUUUGUAGGCGGUGUCUUCAGGGCUUUCAGAGCAGCUUGCCUCAUGUCUGUAGGGGGCUGUGGAGGGGCAAACUUUGGGGGCUCUGUGAUAUCAGGGACAGUGGUUGGUGGUGGUGUAGAACCGGACAAAGAGGAACUAGAAGCACUGGAGGAAGUUGACGGGGGCUUCGGAGGGGCCAUAGGUGGAAGUUUCAUGGAGGUGAAAACAUUCUUGUCCCCUUCAGAGGGGGCAACUGAUGGUGGUUUUGAUGGUGGUUUUGAUGGGGGUUUUGGAGGGGGCAUGGAGGGAGGCUGAAUGGAGUCGAGGUCACCCAAAAAAUCUGGUGGGGGAGGGUUGAAUAUGGGUGGAGGGGGUGGGGGGGCCAUCGAAGGUGGAGGUGGAAUAAAUAUCUCUCCC
rnacentral:lncRNA from 1 species